UACGUAUGGAGCAAGCGUUAUCCGGAUUUACUGGGUGUAAAGGGAGCGCAGGCGGUGCGGCAAGUCUGGUGUGAAAGGCCGGGGCCCAACCCCGGGACUGCAUUGGAAACUGUCGCGCUGGAGUGUCGGAGGGGCAGGCGGAAUUCCUAGUGUAGCGGUGAAAUGCGUAGAUAUUAGGAGGAACACCGGUGGCGAAGGCGGCCUGCUGGACGGCAACUGACGCUGAGGCUCGAAAGCGUGGGGAGCAA
rnacentral:rRNA from 1 species